GAAGGUGUAUGAACCUUAGUGACAGUACAAACCACAAUAUAUUAUUCAUAACUUGAUACGCAGUAGUGUUACACGUGAAUAAUUAAAUACGUUUUCAAUAUGUUCAUUAGCCUUUAAAUUAUUUCUCAUAUAAACGUGUCAUUGUUGUAAUAAACAAGUGGAUUUUAAGCUUAUAUAUAGCAGUGUUUACGUUGAAAAUUUAAAAGACAGCGUUGAAAAUCAAACGACAGCAGUUGCGAUAAGAUCUAAAAAGAAGGUUAUAGUUAUAGGACACUUCAGUACUGGGACACAGUUGAUGACUUGAAAGAAAAAGUAGAGUAAAAUAAAGAAGUUGUAAAAUAAACGUCAUGGCGGCGAAGAAGCUUGAUAAAAACCCGGAAUUCGACCACCGAAAUUCAAUUGCUCUGGUAGACACUGCGGAGGAGCUUGUGGACAGCCUUGACAAUCUGUCGGUGUGCUUGAAACACAACGAGGAGAAAUACGUGGAGGUUGUUCACUAGAAUCUGCGGAGUGAAACAAAACACGUCCACCAUUUCCAUGAACGCCCCAAGUGCUAAGGAUUCCUCGCUGUCGGCAUUCGCAAGCUUCACCUUUAAAG